GGGUCGAUACCAAAGUAGUCAAAUGGGGCAGACUGUAAAUCUGCUGGCUUACGCCUUCCAAGGUGCAAAUCCUUGUCGGCCCA
rnacentral:tRNA from 4 species